rnacentral:rRNA from 1 species
UACGUAGGGUGCGAGCGUAAUCGGAAUUACUGGGCGUAAAGCGUGCGCAGGCGGUGAUGUAAGACAGGUGUGAAAUCCCCGGGCUUAACCUGGGAACUGCAUUGGUGACGUGGCAGGCUUUGAGUGUGGCAGAGGGAGGUAGAAUUCCACGUGUAGCAGUGAAAUGCGUAGAGAUGUGGAGGAAUACCGAUGGCGAAGGCAGCCUCCUGGGCCAACACUGACGCUCAUGCACGAAAGCGUGGGGAGCAAACAGG